GACGUGAAAAGACUAGUGUUAUUCAUCUUUAAUAGGUUUAAAAGGGGUACCUAGACGGUAUAUCUAGCCAAAAAAGGUACGGAUUUACUAGAGUUUUUAUGUGAGAAGGUGAGUAUUUUAAAAGUGUAGAGAUGAAAAUUUUUUUUUAAAUACUUUUAAGGACUAGUAAACGGCGAAAAGCAAACCCUUUUUAUGUAAUAAACUGACGUUGAGGGACGAAAGGCCUGGGGUAGCAAAACAGGG
rnacentral:rRNA from 1 species